rnacentral:tRNA from 1 species
CCCUGGGUGGCUUAGCGGUUGGGCGCCUGCCUUUGGCCCAGGGCAUGGUCCUGGAGUCGCGGGAUCGAGUCCCGCCUUAGGCU